CGCUUAGGGAGGGGGUAACAACUCCCCCUGCCGGAAGCAACUAGGCCCUUAAAAAGGAAGGGGGCUUAAAGUUGGAUACCCAAACAUUACCCCCUAAAGUAGAUGGAUUUUAUUUACUUGUAAUAAAAAAUUUUGAAACUUUAGUGAGUAGGAAGGUACAAUGGUAUGCGUAGAAGUGUUUGGCGUAAGCCUGCAUGGAGCUGCUAUUGGUAUUUAUCUUGGUGGUAGUAGCAAAUAAUCGAAUGAGACCUUGGAGGACUGAAGUGGAGAAGGGUUUCGUGUGAACAGUGGUUGAUCACGAGUUAGUCGGUCCUAAGUUCAAGGCGAAAGCCGAAAAUUUUCAAGUAAAAAUAAAAUUUACUAUAUGUAAAAAUUAUAUACUUGAAUAAUUUUGAACGAAAGGGAAUACGGUUCCAAUUCCGUAACCUGUUGAGUAUCCGUUUGUUAUUAAAUAUGGGCCUCGUGCUCAUCCUGGCAACAGGAACGACCAUAAAGAAGCCGUCGAGAGAUAUCGGAAGAGUUUUCUUUUCUGUUUUAUAGUCGUACUACCAUGGAAGUCUUUCGCAGAGAGAUAUGGUAGAUGGGCUAGAAGAGCAUGACAUAUACUGUUGUGUCGAUAUUUUCUCCUCGGACCUUGAAAAUUUAUGGUGGGGAUACGCAAACUUCUCAACAGGCCGUACCAAUAUCCGCAGCUGGUCUCCAAGGUGAAGAGUCUCUAGUCGAUAGAAUAAUGUAGGUAAGGGAAGUCGGCAAAUUAGAUCCGUAACUUCGGGAUAAGGAUUGGCUCUGAAGAUUGAGAUAGUCGGGCUUGAUUGGGAAACAAUAAUAUGGUUUAUGUGCUCGUUCUGGGUAAAUAGAGUUUCGAUCAUUUAUGGUUGUAACUUGUUCCCCGGAUAGUUAGUUACGUAUCCAAUUGUGGAACUUUCUUGCUAAAAUUUUUAAGAAUACUAGUUGGGUCAAACCAAUUAGUUCUUAUUAAUUAUAACGAUUAUCAUUU
rnacentral:ncRNA from 1 species